UUAGAGUUUGAUCCUGGCUCAGGAUGAACGCUGGCGGCGUGCUUAACACAUGCAAGUCGAACGAUGAAGCCCAGCUUGCUGGGUGGAUUAGUGGCGAACGGGUGAGUAACACGUGAGCAACCUGCCCCUGACUCUGGGAUAAGCGCCGGAAACGGCGUCUAAUACUGGAUACGAACAAGAAUCGCAUGGUUACUUGUUGGAAAGAUUUUUCGGUUGGGGAUGGGCUCGCGGCCUAUCAGCUUGUUGGUGAGGUAAUGGCUCACCAAGGCGUCGACGGGUAGCCGGCCUGAGAGGGUGACCGGCCACACUGGGACUGAGACACGGCCCAGACUCCUACGGGAGGCAGCAGUGGGGAAUAUUGCACAAUGGGCGCAAGCCUGAUGCAGCAACGCCGCGUGAGGGAUGACGGCCUUCGGGUUGUAAACCUCUUUUAGCAGGGAAGAAGCGAGAGUGACGGUACCUGCAGAAAAAGCACCGGCUAACUACGUGCCAGCAGCCGCGGUAAUACGUAGGGUGCAAGCGUUAUCCGGAAUUAUUGGGCGUAAAGAGCUCGUAGGCGGUUUGUCGCGUCUGCUGUGAAAUCUGGGGGCUCAACCCCCAGCCUGCAGUGGGUACGGGCAGACUAGAGUGCGGUAGGGGAGAUUGGAAUUCCUGGUGUAGCGGUGGAAUGCGCAGAUAUCAGGAGGAACACCGAUGGCGAAGGCAGAUCUCUGGGCCGUAACUGACGCUGAGGAGCGAAAGGGUGGGGAGCAAACAGGCUUAGAUACCCUGGUAGUCCACCCCGUAAACGUUGGGAACUAGUUGUGGGGUCCAUUCCACGGAUUCCGUGACGCAGCUAACGCAUUAAGUUCCCCGCCUGGGGAGUACGGCCGCAAGGCUAAAACUCAAAGGAAUUGACGGGGACCCGCACAAGCGGCGGAGCAUGCGGAUUAAUUCGAUGCAACGCGAAGAACCUUACCAAGGCUUGACAUAUACGAGAACGGGCCAGAAAUGGUCAACUCUUUGGACACUCGUAAACAGGUGGUGCAUGGUUGUCGUCAGCUCGUGUCGUGAGAUGUUGGGUUAAGUCCCGCAACGAGCGCAACCCUCGUUCUAUGUUGCCAGCACGUAAUGGUGGGAACUCAUGGGAUACUGCCGGGGUCAACUCGGAGGAAGGUGGGGAUGACGUCAAGUCAUCAUGCCCCUUAUGUCUUGGGCUUCACGCAUGCUACAAUGGCCGGUACAAUGGGCUGCAAUACCGUGAGGUGGAGCGAAUCCCAAAAAGCCGGUCCCAGUUCGGAUUGAGGUCUGCAACUCGACCUCAUGAAGUCGGAGUCGCUAGUAAUCGCAGAUCAGCAACGCUGCGGUGAAUACGUUCCCGGGUCUUGUACACACCGCCCGUCAAGUCAUGAAAGUCGGUAACACCUGAAGCCGGUGGCCUAACCCCUUGUGGGAGGGAGCUGUCGAAGGUGGGAUCGGUAAUUAGGACUAAGUCGUAACAAGGUAGCCGU
rnacentral:rRNA from 1 species